rnacentral:rRNA from 1 species
GACAGAGGUGGCAAGCGUUGUUCGGAGUUACUGGGCGUAAAGAGUCUGUAGGUGGUCUGUCAAGUCUUUGGUGAAAGGCCGUGGCUUAACCAUGGGAACGCCAAAGAGACUGGCAGGCUGGAGGCUGGGAGAGGGAAGCGGAAUUUCUGGUGUAGCGGUGAAAUGCGUAGAUAUCAGAAGGAAGGCCGGUGGCGAAGGCGGCUUCCUGGAACAGUCCUGACACUGAGAGACGAAAGCGUGGGGAGCAAACAGG